rnacentral:lncRNA from 1 species
AUGGGAGUAUGCUGCUGCAUCGGUAGAUCCAGGUGUCUUCCACAAAUUGAAGUCACAGGGACACAGCAGGCAGCAAAGGCCACUAGAGGUCACACAAACUAUUUAAAAGAACAUGAACAAGCAGGUCAAAGUGAUUCCUUCCAACCGGACAGAGAAGCACACAAGAGGAAGAAAGAAGACAGAGCACUGCAGACUUGCCAAGAGCUGAAGUGUCCAUUCCCUCCACUCAGUGUACAAAAUAGCUAAAAAUUCUGUUUAGAAACAAAUGAAAAUACACAUGGGAUUAUUUUAAUCCUCUACUUUAUUUUAGGUAGAGUUAACAUUUGUCAAGAACAUCCCUGAUAAUUAGUUCUCUGGACAUUGAUUCAGGUUGCUUUUGACUCCUGUUUCUUCCUAAUACUUUUAGUCAUGUUACAUGACAGCAGCUAGCCUCAUGUCUGGUAUGCUAAAUAUGGUGUUUGUCUACCUUCAUCUGACUCAGUUCAGUGGUGAGAGUGAUCCAUGUGUUGGUACUAAUGAUGAGGCUCAUAUAGGUAGUAGUGGAUGAGAUAAGGCUUUACUGUUGUAUGAAAAUAACUGUUUUGGAAUAUUGCAAACUAUUCAUUAGGACCACUUUUACUUACUCAGUUUUUUAAAGAACAUGGAGUGAGUGAGCAAACACCCACAAGAAAACAGAGCUGUAGUACACCUGGUAAUCAGAAAGGACCCAAAGUCACUUUUACAGCCUUAAGACUUGAGGUUCCUGCUGUCCUUGACAAAAGCAAAAGCUCUAAAUAUCAAGCCCCUUAUAUCAGUCCCUUUCAAGAUUCUUUAGGCUUCUCUGCACUGGACUUUUUAGAAGCACAGAAAAAUUUGGAUAUAAAAGUAGGUGUCUCAUAUUCAUUAAUAUCUUUUGUGUUUACCAGUGACCACAGCAAACUAUUCCUUUGGCUGAAGCCUCCAGUAAGUGAGCUAAUGAUCAAUUAAAACAUCUCUAAAGCUUUAAUGCUUUGUACUGCACCACAGGAAUUCCCAAAGGAAGGAGGAAGAAGCACAGGAUUUAGUUUUAUGCAGCAAGAAAGAGUGGGACAUAGAUUAAUUUCCUUUCCCCCUAUAGCAAGGGUCUUUUGGAUAUCAUAAAUAAUUUGAAAUGAAAGUCUGAAGAAUGCAGUCAGCUCACAUGGAAUGUUACCAGAUGGUUUUUAGUUAAAUAGUUGAUUAUGGAAAAAGGAGAAAUAUUAGUUACCAGUUGCAGAUUUGUAGUUUCCCUUGUAACCAAAAUAAACAGUUUAUGAAAAUAUAGAGUGGGAUAAUUUUUUUCUUUAACCUAAGUCACUU